UGUCUACUUCUGGUGAGCUGAAGAAACGGGAUAUGUGCUUUCCAGAGAGACAGGUGUUGUGAGCAUACACAGAUCUAAAGGAGAGAAAAGACAAAAAGUCCAUGAAAGCUGGAGACAAAGAAUAAAUGCGAUGUUUGUUUUGAACAGAAGCGGAAAAAAAAGGUGCGUGUAAGUGAUGUGCUCCCAGCAUCCCCUUCCCUGGAAAAGGGGUAGCCCGUCUUCCGCAAAAUUCUGUUUUCUUUGAAAACAGCUUGUAUUAACUAAAGAAGUAAGGAGGAGGAAACAUUUAUUAUCGGCAAAUGUGGAAAAGCCACGUAUCAACUAAAGGAGUCUUGGACCACCACGCUGACUUAGGUCCAUCCUGAAGGGCUGGAGUUUAAUCCAAUCAUUCAGCAUGAAGCAUUCCAGUAGUGGAGGAAAUGAAGGAUUAAAUAGUGGUGGAAGAAUGAGAAAGUAAGACGUUGGAUGUAUAGCCAGAGUGGACUUUAAUCAAAUCAAGCCAGAAACAGACUGAAAUGGAAAUCUAAUAGCCCCAUGUUCUCAGAUUCAUGUUCCCAGUUUCAUUCCAGAUCUUAUUCUUAAAAGGGAGGUUUAGCGUAAGAAUUGUUACAGGAAGAGACUAGCAUGUUCUCUCAGCAUUUUUCGCAGAAGGGAUGUUGAGAAGGUCAGUCCCAAGUUUUGUCAAGAAGUACAAAUAAUACUGUAUAGAUACUUCUAUUUGGGGGUGAGGGGAAAGUAGAAGGGGCUCCAUGCCAAAGUCUCCCAAUCUGACUUCUCUUUGCCCCCAAAAGAUCCCAGGAGAAGAGAAGCAAAAUAUACUCCCUCUCCUCUGUGCUUGUGUUUAUUUCAGGCAGUACACAAUUGAGCAAAGAAUCUCUCACUAAGAAAUCUACUCCAAGACACAGAUUUAAAAGCAGAUCUAGAGUUAUUAGAAGUCUGUUAACCAGUAAGACUACCUUACUCAGAUUUCCAAACCCUAUUUAUCUAGACAAUUGUCAACCUUCUCUUCCACUGGAGAUACAGCCAUGUAUUUCCAUCAUGUUUAUCACUAAGCUCUUCCUGAGUUUUGGACUCAAACUCAUACUCCGAUGUUUAGAACUUAUCUGACAGAUGAAGACGCUUUGUAAAACUAGCCUCUAGAAAAGACUGCUCAAAUAUCGUUUUGAUAAUGGUGCUGUCUCUUGCUAUCCGGAACACAUUUCCUGAUCUUUAUCAUUCGAUAUUCUGUGAACCAGCUGAAUGUUUUUCAGUCGGUGGCAUAUGUCCUCCUUGAUGUCCUGCACCAUUCCUAGUCUGGGAGCUUUGCUGUUGCCCCUGAACUUUGGAGUUCUCUGAGAAUGUUGACUCUGAUUACUGGUGUUUCUGAGGAGGUGGAAAAACAGAGGAACCGUUUAGGAAUGGAGAGUGGAACUUCAGGCGGCAUGAGACGAGGUAAUACACAAAUACAGCAUUAUUGUAAAAGAUUCAAGGAAUACUUCUAUCCUGACCCCUUCCAGCCCUGCCCAGUCAGACAUAAUCAUGCACCCUGUCUCUCCCCUUAGAGCUUGGAGCAAAUUCCUGAAUGAAGAGUCACUGGUCCCCGGGAUCAAGCGGGGAGAGGCUGAGACCUGGUCAUACUUGAAUGCCUGGCUAAUGAGCUUUGUAAGAAUUUUUUGAUUAAUAAGUGAAUGGAGUUUUCUGAGCCUUUAUCUCUUCAUCUGUAAAAUGAGGAUCAUCAAGCUUAUUGCAUAAAGUCCUGCCU